UGCACCCUGGCCCCAGGUUGCCCGUAUCUCUGGCUGUACCAUUCAUCUGCAGCCACAGUGACCUCACCCCUGUGCCACAAUGCACCAACUGGGCCUGGGCCCCAGGGCCUUUGCACAUGCCAUUCCCCAGCUCUCUUUGUGGUGCUCCUUGUUUGUUGCCGAGCUGUCCCCUAGUGAUGCCUUCCCCUGGCCAGCCCCUCACUCCUCUUACCUCAUGCUUUCUUCCUAGGACUCAUCACUCACACUAGAAAUCACCCUGCUUGUUUAUCCUAUUUUUUGCCUGCCUCCUUCCCCUGGAAUGUCACCAUAGCCAGGUGGAGGUUUUGUCAGCUUUGUUCACUGCUGCACACCCAGCCCCCAGCACAGGUCCUGCAUGGAGCAGGUGCCCAGGAAACUCGAAUGGGGAAGAAAUGAAUGGGGGAACGAACAUUUUUCUGCAGAUGAGAGGACUCAGGGCCCUGGACUCCCAUUCCAGUGCUCUUGCUGCAGACUCUGGAGCAGUGGCUGCCUGUGCACGGUCUGUGCCCUCGCGGGGCUGGAGGGGUUUUGUCUGUGGUUCUCUGAUGUGUCCCCAGAGCCUGGCACAGAGAUGAAGUUUCAGUUUUGCCUCUCUUUGUCAUGACUGUGUCUCCUGCCUAUACCAAAGCAGCCGGCACAAGAAGGUGCACCACCAAGAGCUGUACAGUGGGUGAAUGAAUGAAUCAAUAAAUAAACAAGAAGUGCUCAGCACCAGGUCCUG